UGUGACACAGUCUUAGUGCAGCUGACACAGAGUCCUCUUCAGGCUCACAACGGACACAGCUGGACCGUGUAGACUAUUAAAUAGAUAAUAAAAGAGAAUACUUAUUAGAGAGGGCUAUACAACCUCACCAAAGUGCUGUCUUGGCCUUUUUUUCCUUUAGUUUGUCUCAACACUUCUUUUCAUUGUCAGAUUGAGGAUACCAGGGUCCGAUACACAUUGACCAAGCACUUUCUUCUGUUGCAGGUUUUUAAGUGCAGCUCUUUCUUUUGUAAAGGUGACAACUUGACAUGUGGAAUGAAAACAUGAGGGUGUUGGGUGGCGAAUUAUGUGCCAUGUAAAUAACUGAAAUAACACAUGCUUUAGUGCUUGGGUUACCUGCUAUGAUUGUCAUUUCAUUUUCAGAAACUAUUAGAGAAGAGGAAAGACAGAAAAAAGAGCCUCCUAAGUUUAUUAACUGUGUGGAUUUUAGCUACCAUGUAGGCUUUCAACCAUUAUAGUAUUUGGCUUGAUGGAAAGUCAUUCUCAGUUUGUAGAGGUGGACAGAGGGACUUCCAAGGUCUUCCCCAAUGCCCUUUGGCCCUGCUUUAUUUAAAUAAACAAAUGCAAGCGUGU
rnacentral:lncRNA from 1 species